GGAAUAUUGGACAAUGGGCGCAAGCCUGAUCCAGCCAUGCCGCGUGUGUGAAGAAGGCCUUCGGGUUGUAGAGCACUUUUGUACGGGAAGAAACCUUCCGGGCUAAUACCCCGGGAGAAUGACGGUACCGUAAGAAUAAGCACCGGAUAACUUCGCGCCCGCAGCCGCGGUAAUACGAAGGGUGCAAGCGUUACUCGGAAUUACUGGGCGUAAAGCGUGCGUAGGUGGUUCGUUAAGUCUGCCGUGAAAGCCCCGGGCUCAACCUGGGAAUUGCGGUGGAUACUGGCGGACUAGAGUGCGGUAGAGGGUGGUGGAAUUCCCGGUGUAGCAGUGAAAUGCGUAGAUAUAGGAAGGAACACCAGUGGCGAAGGCGACCACCUGGACUGAUACUGACACUGAGGUGCGAAAGCGUGGGGAGCAAAC
rnacentral:rRNA from 1 species